UCUCAAGGAAGGCUCAGACAGUCCCCAAAUGGGUGACAUCUUAUGACCUAACUGGCCAGCACUCGUCAAAGAGGGACUGGGGAAUUGUGGGUGGAGGAGGGUUAAGAGAUAUGACAAACCAACGCAAAAUGGGAUCUUGAUAAAAUCUGAGUGUACUCCAACUGUCCGGCGUUAUUUCCUGUUAAUUUUUUGGUUUUGAUAACUGUACCCUGGGUACGUGUGGUGUUGCUAUCUCUAGGAGCUGAGUAAACUGCCUUGAGGCUCUCUCCCCAUGGCUCUUUCUCAUUCCUUCCCCUCCCACCUUUACUCCGCCUGCCUGAGAUGAAGUCAGAUUUUCCAGGGUAGACCGUCAUUUAUCCAACGCUCGCUGCCCAUUCACUUUUCAGGAAACAUCCCCCACGGUCUUCCUAUUGAAGCUAAGGAGCAAAACAGCUUGGGGGUGGGGUGGGGGUGGGGAUGCCAGGCCAGUGUGUCAUCCUUGGCUGGAUGAAAAGAAGGUCAGAGGAUGUGAGCCAUGAAUGGGGCCUGCAGAUGUUCAAAUGGAGGUGGUGUUAAUCAGACAAAGGGCAGUUUGUAUGAACCAGAAUCAGGCCUGGCCUGUGAGGGAAAUGUAGUAGGGGCCAGAUUGUUUCCAAUCUCUGCUGUUCAGAGGUCAAGGGAUGCAGGCCUACUGUGUAUCACCAACUCUUCUGUGUAGGCCGUGUGUCUGCUGGAGUCGUAGGCAGGAGUCCAGACCCUAUGAGGAAACUUGACAAAAAAUGUGAUGAAAAUCCAAGACCUUUUCUGGCCAUCCUUGUGUUUAAACCUCAUAGCUCUCCAUGCUGGAAAGAAGGCAGCCUUGGACAAGCGAAAGGAGAAGUGUUCUACACUGGGAAAAGUCUCCACCCCAGAGCAGACCUCGAUAUGGGAGAGCUGACCAGAUGGGCAGGCGCUUUGUCUUUGUAGAAGCUCAUUUCUGAAUGGCCAGCAACCGUGCAAUGUGCAAAUCCCAGAGCUCAGCAGUGGAACACGGCAGGCCGGAGCAAGAGAUGAGGCCCACGUGCAAAGAAACAAGGACCACUGUCAGCUAGAGGAAUUCUCUAGAUCCUUCCAGAUACCGUGUUCAAAGCUCAGAUUCUGAUAUGAAGGCAUUUCUCAGCCCUGCAUGUGGGAGUCAUUUCAUAUCCAGUUCAUACACCCCCACCCCCAGGUUUUCUUAUGCCUCUGUCCUCCUUCAAUGGAUCUGGCUGCAUUCCCUGCUCCUCAGCGUCUCAAUGAGAAGCAGGCAGAGAGACUCCUGUGAACUCAUUUGCUCUCCCAGUUCCCUCUGCACCUGCUGCCUCCAGGGCAGUGAAUCCAGCCGUUUCCACAGCAAACAGUCAUAAACAGCCGGAAGCAGUCCAGCACUUCCGGCGCAGAAGCAGGGUGGGGAGUAACUGCUUUGGCAGAGUCCAUUUUCAUACAGAUGUUCUCAUCCAGAAAACCGGAGACUGCAGAGCAUGAAGUGGGUCGGGUUGCAAAUGACAAGGCCUGCGAAGUGCAUUAGGCUGAAGUUCAGACGAUGACUCAGAGCUUCCUCAAAGAUGACCUGCACCUCACAGCACGCCAACUGGGGGCCAGAGGUUUGGGAAAGGCGGGACACAGCUGAGGAAACUGAAACUGAAGAGGCCCACCCUGGUUGUGCAAACAAAGACCCAAACAUACACCUAC